UAGGGAAUCUUCGGCAAUGGGGGGAACCCUGACCGAGCAACGCCGCGUGAGUGAAGAAGGUUUUCGGAUCGUAAAGCUCUGUUGUUAAGGAAGAACGAGUGUGAGAAUGGAAAGUUCAUACUGUGACGGUACUUAACCAGAAAGGGACGGCUAACUACGUGCCAGCAGCCGCGGUAAUACGUAGGUCCCGAGCGUUGUCCGGAUUUAUUGGGCGUAAAGCGAGCGCAGGCGGUUAGAUAAGUCUGAAGUUAAAGGCAGUGGCUCAACCAUUGUAGGCUUUGGAAACUGUUUAACUUGAGUGCAGAAGGGGGGAGUGGAAUUCCAUGUGUAGCGGUGAAAUGCGUAGAUAUAUGGAGGAACACCGGUGGCGAAAGCGGCUCUCUGGUCUGUAACUGACGCUGAGGCUCGGAAGCGUGGGGAGCGAACAGG
rnacentral:rRNA from 1 species